GUUGGACGGCGUGUUGUUAGGGCGCUCUAUCAGUAGUGCAUUUGCAAGUGGAGUGCGCUGAGGCUUGUGGAUUAUGCUAGCGGCUGGAUCUGCGUUUUGAGGCCACACUGUUCGCGGUGUGUAACCCGGACGUGAGGAAGGUCGUCUGCUCUGCAUGUGCAAGAGUGCGGUUGGAGUUGGUGGACGCCGUUCCAACGGCUGGUAACGGUCGCAUGCGACACGUGCUAGUCUGUCGUUUCGGUGUUCGCCGGUUCUUCGUACUUGCUCUCGGUGUAAAAGUUGGUCAUCUAUCCGACCCGUCUUGAAACACGGACCAAGGAGUUUAGCGUAUACGCGAGUCAUUGAGUGGAAAACUCAAAGGCGUAAUGAAAGUGAUUAUUUAAUAUGCGAUCGUGUGUGCUUCGGUGUGCAUGAGCAGCAUAACCCCGUCCCGAUCGCUUGCGAUGGGGCGGAGGUAGAGCGUACUCGCUGAGACCCGAAAGAUGGUGAACUAUUCCUGAGCAGGACGAAGCCAGAGGAAACUCUGGUGGAAGUCCGAAGCGGUUCUGACGUGCAAAUCGAUCGUCUGACUUGGGUAUAGGGGCGAAAGACUAAUCGAACCAUCUAGUAGCU
rnacentral:rRNA from 1 species